CAACUACUCCCUCUGUCCCAAAUUUCUUGUCUUAGAUUUGUCUACAUACAGAUGUAUCUAAUACUAAAAUGUGACUUGAUACAUCUGUAUCUAGACAAAUCUAAGACAAGAAUUUUGGGACGGAGGGAGUACUUU
rnacentral:pre_miRNA from 1 species